CGAUUCGACUGCUGUGUCGCUGAGUCGUCAAGGUGGCGUCCCGUCCGCUGCAGCAGCGACCAGAGAUCGACAUCAGCAUCGAUCAGCAAUCAAAUGCUGGCCUACAGCUUUAAGACGCAGGACGUAUGUACCCUACGCUUUGCCACAAACCGAGGCGAAUCCGAUUUCCCCCCGCCAGACGAAGUCCUAGCAAAGUAUCCCAGCCAGACAGAAUCGUGUCCUGGUAGGACCGAGGAGCACCCCUUGCAAGAUCGAACAUAAGAAGCCAUCGUCAUCCCACGCCCUGGCCAUCGACAACAAGGACUUUGACCAUAACGACCAAGGGAAGAGCUAAGCGGGCUACUACCAUAUAGAUAUAUCUCGUUGUUGUUAGGUUUAAGGAUAUACGCGUCCCAUAUAUUUAAACAGUAGACACAAAUGUUUUCCACUUGUUUAUCUAUUUAUACUAAGCUAAGUUAUGAUGAAUAAAACUAUUGAAAAAUCA